ACAGCCUAGGGCAGAGUCCAAAGUGGGAGCCAGCCUGCUGACCGCCACCCCCAGCCCAGGCCCAAGAGCCAGGGCCCAGGGCGGGUAGGAGUGAAGGACAUGCUUCCUCUGGUCCCCACCCCAAGCUCUACCCAGGAAGAUUUGGGGGAAAGGACCUCAGGCGGGUCCUCCUCUCCAGGACCCCUCCCUCCUGGCCUCCACUCAAAUUCUUUACUUGGCUGCUUUCCUGGGAAGAGGGGAGAAAAAGAGAAGGAAAAGAAAAGAGGAAAUAGAGGGGAAACCCGGAGUGGCGAAGAAUGUAUCCGUCUGUGGUUUGGCAGCAGAAAAAGCUAAGCUCUGGCUCCCUGGGACCACAACGGAGGAAGCCUGCCACUGUGAGGACCCAUGGGAUUGCACGGGGCCCACCCAGUUCAUCCAGCAAAACCCCUCCACCUCCAGGUCCUUUAUGGAAUCACAUCCACAGAAGUCCCUCCUGCCAUGUAAGGAAUCCAGCAGGAAUGGGCUUGCUGGUAUCAUGCACUGAUGUCAUGGAGAGUUUGUGCUGACUUUACUUAUGAUAUGUCCAAACCAACACAAGUCCAAGCCAGUGGUAACAGGAAUGGCUGUGCUGCCCCUGUGAGAGACAUACCAGCCUUUUCCCUGACUUGUCCACGGCUGGUUCUCACCCUCAACCAGUUAUGUGUGCAUAAAACUCAGCUGGGGCCAGUUACCCCCAGAGUUUAAGUCAAAUAAAAAUUAUUCUUGGAUUA